AUACGGAGGGGACUAGCGUUGUUCGGAAUUACAGGGCGUAAAGAGUUCGUAGGCGGACUGAUAAGUAAGAGGUGAAAUCCCAGGGCUCAACCCUGGAACUGCCUUUUAAACUGUCAGUCUAGAGACCGGAAGAGGUUAGGGGAAUACCUAGUGUAGAGGUGAAAUUCGUAGAUAUUAGGUGGAACACCAGUGGCGAAGGCGCCUAACUGGUCCGGUACUGACGCUGAGGAACGAAAGCGUGGGGAGCAAACAGGAUUAGAAACCCUAGUAGUCC
rnacentral:rRNA from 1 species